GAAUAUUGGACAAUGGGCGAAAGCCUGAUCCAGCCAUGCCGCGUGUGUGAAGAAGGUCUUCGGAUUGUAAAGCACUUUAAGUUGGGAGGAAGGGCAGUUACCUAAUACGUGAUUGUUUUGACGUUACCGACAGAAUAAGCACCGGCUAACUCUGUGCCAGCAGCCGCGGUAAUACAGAGGGUGCAAGCGUUAAUCGGAAUUACUGGGCGUAAAGCGCGCGUAGGUGGUUUGUUAAGUUGGAUGUGAAAUCCCCGGGCUCAACCUGGGAACUGCAUUCAAAACUGACUGACUAGAGUAUGGUAGAGGGUGGUGGAAUUUCCUGUGUAGCGGUGAAAUGCGUAGAUAUAGGAAGGAACACCAGUGGCGAAGGCGACCACCUGGACUAAUACUGACACUGAGGUGCGAAAGCGUGGGGAGCAAACAG
rnacentral:rRNA from 1 species